rnacentral:rRNA from 1 species
CAGCAGCCGCGGUAAUUCCAGCUCCAAUAGCGUAUUGUAAAGUUGUUGCAGUUAAAAAGCUCGUAGUUGGAUUUCGGGCUCGACGACGACGGUCAGCCGCAAGGUAUGUCACUGUCGGCGUUGGCCUUCUUCGCGCAGACUUCGCGUGCUCUUAACUGAGUGUGCGUUGGAUACGCGACGUUUACUUUGAAAAAAUUAGAGUGUUCAAAGCAGGCUUGUGCUUGGAUACAUAAGCAUGGAAUAAUGGAAUAGGACUUUGGUUCUAUUUUCCGUUGGUUUCUGGAACCGAAGUAAUGAUUAAUAGGGACAGUUGGGGGCAUUCGUAUUUCGUUGUCAGAGGUGAAAUUCUUGGAUUUACGAAAGACGAACUAAUGCGAAAGCAUUUGCCAAGAAUGUUUUCAUUAAUCAAGAACGAAAGUUAGAGGAUCGAAGACGAUCAGAUACCGUCCUAGUUCUAACCAUAAACGAUGCCGACUAGGGAUCAGCGAGUGUUAUCUAAUGACCUCGUUGGCACCUUAUGGGAAACCAAAGUUUUUGGGUUCCGGGGGAAGUAUGGUUGCAAAGCUGAAACUUAAAGGAAUUGACGGAAGGGCACCACCAGGAGUGGAGCCUGCGGCUUAAUUUGACUCAACACGGG